rnacentral:rRNA from 1 species
GGUGAACGCUUGCGGCGUGCUUAAGACAUGCAAGUCGAACGCAGUCUUCGGACUGAGUGGCGCACGGGUGAGUAACACGUAACUGACCUACCCCCAAGUCGCGAAUAACCAGCCGAAAGGAUGGCUAAUACGUGAUGUGAUGAUCCGCUGUGGCGGACCAUUAAAGACUUGAUCGCUUGGGGAUGGGGUUGCGUUCCAGCAGCUAGUUGGUAAGGUAAAGGCUUACUAAGGCAACGACGGAUAGCCGGCCUGAGAGGGUGGCCGGCCACAGGGGCACCGCGACGCGGGUACCAUGAGUACGGGGGGCGGUAGGUAGGAGUCUUCGAAAGUGGGCGCAAGCCUGCUGGAGCGAGCGCGCGUGAGGGGUGAGGGUGCGAGGAUCGGAAUCGUCUGAACCAACGACGAAAGACCCGACUAGGGGGAUGACGUUAGUUGGAUAAUAGCCCCGGCUAACUCCGUGCCAGCAGCCGCCGUAAUAC